AACGAACGCUGGCGGCAGGCUUAACACAUGCAAGUCGAGCGCGAGUAGCUUGCUACUCGAGCGGCGCACGGGUGAGUAACACGUGAGUAAUCUGCCCUGAAGUCCGGGACAACAUUCCGAAAGGAGUGCUAAUACCGGACAAGCCCACGUCACUGUGGUGAUGCGGGAAAAGAGGGGGACCUUCGGGCCUCUCGCUUCAGGAUGAGCUCGCGGCCCAUCAGGUAGUUGGUGAGGUAAUGGCUCACCAAGCCGUAGACGGGUAGCUGGCCUGAGAGGACGAUCAGCCACACUGGAACUGAGACACGGUCCAGACUCCUACGGGAGGCAGCAGUGGGGAAUCUUGCGCAAUGGGCGAAAGCCUGACGCAGCCAUGCCGCGUGAGUGACGAAGGCCUUCGGGUCGUAAAGCUCUGUCCAGAGGGACGAACCCUGUGCGUGAUAACAUCGCGCGCAGCUGACGGUACCUCUGAAGAAAGCACCGGCUAACUCCGUGCCAGCAGCCGCGGUAAUACGGAGGGUGCAAGCGUUGUUCGGAAUCACUGGGCGUAAAGCGCAUGUAGGCGGUCGCGAAGGUCGGGUGUGAAAGCCCUGGGCUUAACCCAGGAAAUGCGCCCGAAACC
rnacentral:rRNA from 1 species